CACGAUGAUAGCUCCAGGCCGGGAGAUCGGCCUCAUCUCCCCGCCACAGAACCCCCAGAACAGAUAGGCCGCAGGACAGCCUGUAGUCACAGGCUACUACAAACCUGAUCGGGUAAGCUCCCUGAUGUUCAGGAACAGGUAAGUGUUCAGUGGGCAUCCUCCAAAGGCAUUCUUCCCUCAGUAGGUCUUAUUUUACAGGCU